UUGGGGCCCAAAUAGAACGUUCAAGCAUUGUUUUUGUUUUUGUUGUUGAAAGGGUCUAUACACACUCCCUCGCUCGCCUCAGACAUCCUUCUAUUCCCAGGUGAGAGGAGUGGAUCUGUGAGUGAUGUCCACCCUGAGUGUGUCAGGUAUCACGGCUCUGCCCCCUCGGAACACUAUGCCAUCCUAGAAACUCAGUUCAUCUUGGAAAGUGUGGUAGUGCCUGAUGUCACUUGGCAUUUAGAUGUCAUCAGAUGAAUCAGUGUUUAACAUGAAACAGGGGCAACCUGCACGAAGAAUGGAAUGAUCAUUUCAGACACACAUCAGCAUUGGGCCACACUUCAGGACCCAAGUUAUGGAUUGGACAACUCACUGUAUGGAUAGAAAGAAGGA